UUCCAUGUGAACAGCAGUUGGACAUGGGUCAGUCGAUCCUAAGAAAACGGCGAAAGCUUGUUCGAAUUUGCGACAUGAAUUGUAAGACUGAAUAAUUUGUGUGUGUGUGUUGUGGUGGAGGCGAUUGUGUCCUCACCAGUUGUUGUUGUGUGCAGUUGUCGUAUGUUUUCG
rnacentral:rRNA from 1 species